rnacentral:rRNA from 1 species
CCUACGGGUGGCAGCAGUGGGGAAUAUUGCACAAUGGGGGAAACCCUGAUGCAGCAACGCCGCGUGAAGGAAGACGGUUUUCGGAUUGUAAACUUCUGUUCUUAGUGAAGAAUAAUGACGGUAGCUAAGGAGCAAGCCACGGCUAACUACGUGCCAGCAGCCGCGGUAAUACGUAGGGGGCGAGCGUUAUCCGGAUUCACUGGGUGUAAAGGGAGCGUAGACGGCCAAGCAAGCCAGGGGUGAAAGCCCGGGGCCCAACCCCGGGACUGCCCUUGGAACUGCAUGGCUGGAGUGCGGGAGGGGCAGGCGGAAUUCCUGGUGUAGCGGUGAAAUGCGUAGAUAUCAGGAGGAACACCGGCGGCGAAGGCGGCCUGCUGGACCGCGACUGACGUUGAGGCUCGAAAGCGUGGGGAGCGAACAGGAUUAGAUACCCCAGUAGUC